GGGCAUUGCUUACAGGGGUCACAGACAUUCAGAUCAUGGCAGAACUGUCACAGAUGUUACUUUGUGAAAACACAAAGAAUAAUGUGUUUGGAGAGAUCAGUCUUCAAUUAGCUAUAUUUUCUAGGAGCCUACCUUUACUUAGCCUCACAACAUGGGCCUUAGCUUUAGCACUUAAUCUGCACAAAUACCUGGCUUAAGUGUUAUGACUGACUGGCUAUUCAACCAAACCAUACAAAUGACCAAUUCGGUAAGAAAGCAUGAACUUCAGUGUUGAACCAAAUCAACCAACCUCCUCAAUCCAAAUGAACAAUGCUAUUCUAGGAGUCUGUGCUAGAAUAAAAUCCUAAUGCAAAGGCUGUCUUAAAAUGCUGAACCCAGAAGAAUUUGGCAUAAAUAAGACAUGGAGUUAGCUGACAUGAGAUAUUACAUUUAUUCCACUGUUGACGAGGACAAAACUGGGCCGCUAUUGUCACAGGAGAGGAUAACAAAGGAAGCUGAGGAAGUCUGUUCUGGAGGCACCAUGACAAAGCACCAGACAGAAAGCAGUCACGUGUGGGGAGAUGAGCAGAGACACCACUUCUCAAGCACCUGAUUAUUCUUUCUCAGUAUUUAGAAGCAAAAAUUAUCCUUAAGAAAAACAACCGCAAACGCAACACAGGCUACACAGAUGAGAAAAUGGGGUGAACAUAAAGAUUUUUCAGUCAAUAGCAUACACUGAACAUUGCUUCUAUAUAAAGAGCAGUGUUUCUCAAAGUGUGGUCCUUGGAACAGCAGCAUCAGUAGCAUCGGCUUGCAGAGCUCAAACCAUUACACCAUUCAGAAGCUGGCUUUGGUAUUACUUCAAGUUAUUCAAAACAGUCACCACUUGCUGAGCCUCUGAUGUCUCAUCUGUUGAAUGGAUUUCAAGAGAGAAGGCUGAAAAGGAAGGUGACUGGAAUAUUAAGAACUGUGAGAUAUUCUGAGGAAACUCUAAUUUGUAAAUUGGUAGAAAUGCCAGUAAUUUGUUGGGAAUUGAAGACCCUCUGUAUUCAAGAGCGAAGCUUGGCAGCUGUGCACUGUUGUUUUAUAAAUCAAUAUUACAUC
rnacentral:lncRNA from 1 species